rnacentral:rRNA from 1 species
CGGACGGGCGAGUAACGCGUGAGUAACCUGCCUUACACAAGGGGAUAGCCGUUGGAAACGACGAAUAAUACCCUAUGAAACUAUCACUUCGCAUGAAGCGAUAGUCAAAGUGUUAGCGGUGUAAGAUGGACUUGCGUCUGAUUAGCUAGUUGGUGAGAAAAAGCCCACCAAGGCAACGAUCAGUAGCCGGCUUGAGAGAGUGUACGGCCACAUUGGGACUGAGACACGGCCCAG